AGUGAACGCUGGCGGUAUGCCUAACACAUGCAAGUCGAACGGCAGCACAGUAAGAGCUUGCUCUUACGGGUGGCGAGUGGCGGACGGGUGAGGAAUACAUCGGAAUCUACUUUUUCGUGGGGGAUAACGUAGGGAAACUUACGCUAAUACCGCAUACGACAUACGGGUGAAAGCAGGGGAUCUUCGGACCUUGCGCGAUUGACUGAGCCGAUGUCGGAUUAGCUAGUUGGCGGGGUAAAGGCCCACCAAGGCGACGAUCCGUAGCUGGUCUGAGAGGAUGAUCAGCCACACUGGAACUGAGACACGGUCCAGACUCCUACGGGAGGCAGCAGUGGGGAAUAUUGGACAAUGGGCGCAAGCCUGAUCCAGCAAUACCGCGUGGGUGAAGAAGGCCUUCGGGUUGUAAAGCCCUUUUGUUGGGAAAGAAAAGCAGCAGGUUAAUACCCCGCUGUUCUGACGGUACCCAAAGAAUAAGCACCGGCUAACUUCGUG
rnacentral:rRNA from 1 species